ensembl:processed_transcript Gm15270 predicted gene 15270
CCGUCCCUUCCGUCAGUCCCGGGGCUUACCCGGGUGCAGAGGGCGAGGAGCACCAAGGCGAGGCUGAUGGGACCUGCGACGGAGGCGAGCAUGAUCGGGACGCGGUAGGAGGAUGCACAGCAGGGUGCAGAGGCGACGAGAGGCGCGGCUGGAGCCUGGAUUCGGACAGGGGCGGAGAACCCUGUGCAAUAUGCACUGUGUGUGAAGACAGCAGAUCAUAGGGACCUUGGAGAUCAUUCAGCGGAAACAUGAGACCACCCCCUUCAGAGUAUACAAGGUGGAAGAUCUGAAUGCCGAUGGGGUGUGGCUUCCUGCUCUGAUAACCUCAAGGUUGGUAUGCUGAGUUGCUGGUGACUAAGCAAAGCCUGACACAGCUUCACAAGAGGUCCCUCAAACUCUGACCACCAUGGAGACUUGGCAAUCCAUUCAGACUACUUUGAGAAGCAGUUCAAAACUGAUUUGUAUUCUACG